rnacentral:SRP_RNA from 1 species
UCUGUGUGUUGUGGUAUAUGUCUGUAAUCCCAACCACCAAGGAGGUCAAGGCUUGUAGAACCCUUGGCUCAGGCGUUUUAAGCCACAGUGGGCCAUGCUGAUUGGGUAUCUACAUUAACUUCAGCAUUAAUGUGGUGAGUCCCUGGGAUUAGGGAACCAGCAGGUUGCUUGAGGAAUGAUGACCUGGCCCAGCUCAGAAAUGGAAUAGGUCAAAGCCCCUGUCCCAGUCAGUAAUGGGACUGGGCCUAUGAGUAGCCUCUGCUCUUCCAGAUCAGCUGAGAUAGGCACACCCAGUCUUA